rnacentral:rRNA from 1 species
GGGAGCCCGCAAGGGUGACUGCGUACCUUUUGUAUAAUGGGUCAGCGACUUAUAUUUUGUAGCGAGGUUAACCGAAUAGGGGAGCCGAAGGGAAACCGAGUCUUAACUGGGCGUUGAGUUGCAAGGUAUAGACCCGAAACCCGGUGAUCUAGCCAUGGGCAGGUUGAAGGUUGGGUAACACUAACUGGAGGACCGAACCGACUAAUGUUGAAAAAUUAGCGGAUGACUUGUGGCUGGGGGUGAAAGGCCAAUCAAACCG